rnacentral:lncRNA from 1 species
AUGUACAAAAAGUUUGUUUUUCAAACUUGGUCAAGCUAGUUUAUAGAUUACGGUAAAUUUUGUUAUUUCUCUUUUUUUUUUUUUAAAUAAUAAUUAUCAUAAACGUUGAGCAAGUGAUAGAGGACAAAUAACUCAGCUAACGAGACCAUGUACAAAUCGAGGUGUGAGGAAAAAACAAUAAAUCUCAAAUUGAUUUUCGAAAAUCUCUUUUAAUUUGAUUUAACUAGAAAUUCAUGAAUUGUUAAAUCAAACUAAGAAUAGGAGAUUCAGUAUGAAAGUCAUGAUUUUAUUAUUUAAUGAAAAUUGUAGAGAAUUUUCAAAGUUAAUUUAAGAUUUAUUAUCGUUUCUUCACUGAUUCCCACAUAUUUAAAAUUUUUCGUCGUUUCUUCACUGACUACCACACUCUUACAUAUCUUUAUAUGCUUUCGCUAUUGAGUUAUUUGUCCCCUAUUAGCUACUUUUUUUUGAAGGUUUAAAACGUCAUUAUAUAAUUGUAAAAUUCCAAAUUUAAUCAAGCUAAUUCAAAAUUAUGGUAAAGAAUGGUUCUCUCUUAUUUUUAUUAAUUAAUUAAUUAUAAAAAAGUUUGAACUGUUUUCUUAAAGAAUUUAAAGUUUUCCACACUCUUUAAAAAUGGUCAAAUUAAUUAUUUUUGUUCUCUUUUUAUUGGUUUUCUUUUUGUUAAUUACCAUCACAAAUAGUAGAACUAUGUUAAUGCAGAUCUGAGGCUUCAUGUAAUUUUCCGUUGUAAAAUUCUAAAUUUGGUCAAAUUAAUUCGCAUUAAAUUUGAUCAAAUUAAUUCGCAUUAGGAUAAAAUUAUUUUUAACGAAUUAAUUAAUUAUAACAAAAGUUGAUUUUUUUUAGAGUUAAAGCUUAUUUUUGUUCUCUUUUUAUUGAUUUUCUUUUUGUUAAUUAAUAGUUGAACAUAUUCAUGCAGAUCUGAGGCUUCAUGUAAUUUUCCGUUGUGAAAUACUAAAUUUGGUCAAAUUAAUUCGCAUUAAAUUUGAUCAAAUUAAUUCGCAUUAGGAUAAAAUUACUUUUAAUUAAUUAAUUAAUUAUAACAAAAAUUUGAUUUUUUAGAGUUAAACCUUCCUAUAUCAUUCCGUUGUGUUAAUAUGAUUUAAUGAAGUUUACCUUUC